UCUAAUCCAAUACACCUCUAAUCCAAUACAACGAACCAAACGCACCCUUAGUGUCGCCGCUGCAUGUAGUGUGAAUGUAGCUUAAUAUUCAAAAGAAACUGAAGCAAAAACAAAUGGAUUAAUAAAUAUAAAAUUAUAUCAGGAAAUCAGCUUAAUCCUUUUGGUCUUAACAUACCUUCUUUGUUGUAGUUAAAGCCACGGACUCGCCGGAAAGUCCCUCGUACCAGUGUCGACACGCCGGAACAUGCAAGGACACGGGAUUUUGGUGGUUGAAAGUCGUUAAAAACAUCAGAAUAGUGAUAGAAAAUCUCUGUUUGAAACCUAAAUCUGCACAUCAUCAUUAAGAUUUUCUAUAAUCUAAUAUGGUGCAUGUUCUUAGGAGGUUCAGAGAGGUAUAAUGAGGGUAUUUUUGAAUAUUUCGACACCGUUGACGGCGGCCGGAGUGGUAGCGGAGGGUCUAAUGAGGUUCCGAAAGAAAAAGUAAUUGCUUGAAGAUGUCAUCG
rnacentral:lncRNA from 1 species